UUUCCGUAGGUGAACCUGCGGAAGGACCAUUAAAGAGAAUAUGCCCUUCGGGGUAGAUCUCCCACCCUUUGUUUAUAUUACCUUUGUUGCUUUGGCAGGCCCGUCUUCGGACCACCGGCUUCGGCUGGUCAGUGCUUACCAGAGGACCCAAAACUCUUAUUAUUAAUGUCGUCUGAGUACUAUAUAAUAGUUAAAACUUUCAACAACGGAUCUCUUGGUUCUGGCAUCGAUGGAGAACGCAGC
rnacentral:misc_RNA from 1 species